UGGCCUUUUGGGCCUUCAACCUUCAAAAACAUGUGGAAGCAAGAUGUGCUUCGGUGCCUCUGGUGCCGCCUUUAUGCAGUGAAGCCUUAUUUGUCUGAACCAAAAUCAAAAAGUUAAAACUUUCAACAAAGGAUCUCUUGGCUCUCACAUCGAUGAAGAACGCAGCGAAGCGCGAAAUGUAGUGUGAAUCGCAGAACUUAGUGAAUCAUCGAAUCUUUGAACGCACAUUGCGCCUCCCAUCAUCGGGAGGCAUGCCUGUCUGAGCGUCAUUUAAACCAUAGCUCCCAUCUGGGACUGUACUGGGCAUCGCCGACGGCGUAGCCUCAAAGACAUUGGUCUAAUCAAGCGGACGAGUUCCUUUAGGACGGACCGUUGGGUUGACCUUAAACCUCUGACUUGACCUCAGAUCAGGUAGGGCUACCGCCUGAACUUAAGCAUAUCAAUAAGGCGAGGAACAGAAACCAACAGGGAUUCCCCUAGUAGUGGCGAAUGAAGCGGGAAAAGCUCAAGUUUGAAAUCUGGGGCUUGCCCCAGAGUUGUAAGCUGAAGAGGUGUCGACCGACGCGGCCCGGGCUCAAUUUCCUUGGAACAGGAGGUC
rnacentral:sRNA from 1 species